UACGGAGGGGGCUAGCGUUGUUCGGAAUUACUGGGCGUAAAGCGCACGUAGGCGGCUUUGUAAGUUAGAGGUGAAAGCCCAGGGGCUUAACCCUGGAAUUGCCUUUAAGACUGCAUCGCUAGAAUCGUGGAGAGGUGAGUGGAAUUCCGAGUGUAGAGGUGAAAUUCGUAGAUAUUGGAAGAACACCAGUGGCGAAGGCGACUCACUGGACA
rnacentral:rRNA from 1 species